rnacentral:rRNA from 1 species
GACGAACCGUGCGAACGUUGUUCGGAAUCACUGGGCUUAAAGGGCGCGUAGGCGGGCCUCCAAGUCCGGGGUGAAAUCUUUCGGCUUAACCGGAAAAGUGCCUUGGAUACUGGGGGCCUUGAGGGAGGCAGGGGCGGAUGGAACUUCCGGUGGAGCGGUGAAAUGCGUUGAUAUCGAUAGGAACUCCGGUGGCGAAGGCGGCAUACUGGACCACUACUGACGCUGAUGCGCGAAAGCCAGGGGAGCAAACGGG